rnacentral:rRNA from 1 species
AGGAACGUACCCUAAAGUGAGGGAUAAGCACCAGAAAUGGUGUCUAAUACCACAUGUGAUCUUCGGAUUAAAGGAUUUAUCCGCUUUGGGAACGGCCUGCGUCUGAUUAGCUUGUUGGUGAGGUAAAGGCUCACCAAGGCUAUGAUCGGUAGCUGGUCUAAGAGGAUGAUCAGCCAGACUGGGACUGAGACACGGCCCAGACUCCUACGGGAGGCAGCAGUAGGGAAUCUUCCACAAUGGACGAAAGUCUGAUGGAGCAACGCCGCGUGCAGGAUGAAUGCCUUCGGGUUGUAAACUGCUUUUAUCUGUGAAGAAUAUGACGGUAGCAGAUGAAUAAGGAUCGGCUAACUCCGUGCCAGCAGCCGCGGUCAUACGGAGGAUCCAAGCGUUAUCCGGAAUUACUGGGCGUAAAGAGUUGCGUAGGUGGUUAAGUAAGUAGAUAGUGAAAGCGUCUCGCUCAACGGGAUACCCAUUAUCUAAACUGCUUUGACUAGAGAACGAGAGAGGUUAUUGGAAUUCCUUGUGUAGGAGUGAAAUCCGUAGAUAUAAGGAGGAACACCGAUGGCGUAGGCAGAUAACUGGCUCGUUUCUGACACUAAGGCACGAAAGCGUG